AUUGAACGCUAGCGGGAUGCUUUACACAUGCAAGUCGAACGGCAGCGCGGACUUCGGUCUGGCGGCGAGUGGCGAACGGGUGAGUAAUGUAUCGGAACGUGCCCAGUAGCGGGGGAUAACUACGCGAAAGCGUAGCUAAUACCGCAUACGCCCUACGGGGGAAAGCAGGGGAUCGUAAGACCUUGCACUAUUGGAGCGGCCGAUAUCGGAUUAGCUAGUUGGUGAGGUAACGGCUCACCAAGGCGACGAUCCGUAGCUGGUUUGAGAGGACGACCAGCCACACUGGGACUGAGACACGGCCCAGACUCCUACGGGAGGCAGCAGUGGGGAAUUUUGGACAAUGGGGGCAACCCUGAUCCAGCCAUCCCGCGUGUGCGAUGAAGGCCUUCGGGUUGUAAAGCACUUUUGGCAGGAAAGAAACGUCGCGGGCUAAUACCCCGUGGAACUGACGCUACCUGCAGAAUAAGCACCGGCUAACUACGU
rnacentral:rRNA from 1 species